UAACACAUGCAAGUCGAGCGGUAAGGCCUUUCGGGGUACACGAGCGGCGAACGGGUGAGUAACACGUGGGUGAUCUGCCCUGCACUUCGGGAUAAGCCUGGGAAACUGGGUCUAAUACCGGAUAUGACCUCCUAUCGCAUGGUGGGUGGUGGAAAGAUUUAUCGGUGCAGGAUGGGCCCGCGGCCUAUCAGCUUGUUGGUGGGGUAAUGGCCUACCAAGGCGACGACGGGUAGCCGACCUGAGAGGGUGACCGGCCACACUGGGACUGAGACACGGCCCAGACUCCUACGGGAGGCAGCAGUGGGGAAUAUUGCACAAUGGGCGAAAGCCUGAUGCAGCGACGCCGCGUGAGGGAUGACGGCCUUCGGGUUGUAAACCUCUUUCAGCAGGGACGAAGCGCAAGUGACGGUACCUGCAGAAGAAGCACCGGCUAACUACGUGCCAGCAGCCGCGGUAAUACGUAGGGUGCAAGCGUUGUCCGGAAUUACUGGGCGUAAAGAGUUCGUAGGCGGUUUGUCGCGUCGUUUGUGAAAACCAGCAGCUCAACUGCUGGCUUGCAGGCGAUACGGGCAGACUUGAGUACUGCAGGGGAGACUGGAAUUCCUGGUGUAGCGGUGAAAUGCGCAGAUAUCAGGAGGAACACCGGUGGCGAAGGCGGGUCUCUGGGCAGUAACUGACGCUGAGGAACGAAAGCGUGGGUAGCGAACAGGAUUAGAUACCCUGGUAGUCCACGCCGUAAACGGUGGGCGCUAGGUGUGGGUUCCUUCCACGGAAUCCGUGCCGUAGCUAACGCAUUAAGCGCCCCGCCUGGGGAGUACGGCCGCAAGGCUAAAACUCAAAGGAAUUGACGG
rnacentral:rRNA from 1 species